rnacentral:rRNA from 1 species
AUUAAAAUUAAUAAAAAUAAUUUUAUAUAUUAAUUUUUUAGUAUAAUUUAUAGAAAAAAUUUUAUUUAUUAUAGUGAAGUAGUAUUGUAAAAGAAAAUUGAAAUAAAAUUUAAUUGUUUAAAAGUAGAAUUUAUUUUUUGUACCUUGUGUAUCAGGGUUUAUUAAAUAAAAAUUAAUUAUAUUAAUUUUCUCGAUUUUAAGAGAGCUAAUAAAUUAUUUUUUUUAUUGUUAAAUAAAUAUUUAUAAUAAUUUAUUGGUAAUGAAAUGUUAUUCGUUCUUAAAUAUAUCUAGUUUAUUUGGAAAUGAAUUUAAUUCAGAUAUUUUAAUUUUAAUGAUUUAAUUUGUUAAGUUAUUAAAUUUUAAUAUUAAUAAUUAAAGGGAUUAGCUUUUAAUUAAAAAUUUAUAAAUUAUUAAAUUAAUUUAAAAAAUGUAAGUUUAGAAAUAGCUAUCAUAAAUAAUUUGUUAUAAUUAAUUUAUAUAAAAAUAUUAUUUUAUAUGAUUUUAAAUUUUUUAUAAAUAAAUAAUUUUUAAUUUUAGAAAAUUAGAUAUAAUGAUAUAAUUAGUAUAUAAUUAAAAUAUUUAAAUAAUAAUUUAUAAAAGAUUAUUUAAAGGAAUUCGGCAAAUAUUUUACUCGCCUGUUUAACAAAAACAUGUCUUUUUGAUAUAUAUAUAAAGUCUAGCCUGCCCAAUGAAUUUAUUUUAAAUGGCUGCAGUAAUUUGACUGUACAAAGGUAGCAUAAUCAUUAGUUUUUUAAUUAAAAGCUUGUAUGAAAGGUUGGACGAGGUAAAAUCUGUCUCUAUUUAAUUUAUUGUAAAAUUUAAUUUUUAAGUUAAAAAGCUUAAAUAAUUAUAAAAGACGAGAAGACCCUAUAGAGCUUUAUAUUUUUAUUGAAUAUAAUUAAUUAAGAUUUAUAAAAGUUUUAUUUAUAAAAUUAUUUUAUUGGGGUAAUAGAAAGAUUAAAAAAAUUCUUUUUGAUUAUUAACAUUAAUUUAUGAUUUUUUAAUGAUCCAUUAUUAUUGAUUAUAAGAUUAAGUUACCUUAGGGAUAACAGCGUAAUUUUUUUAAAGAGUUCAUAUCGAUAAAAAAGUUUGCGACCUCGAUGUUGGAUUAAAGAUUAGUUUAGGUGUAGAAGUUUAAAUUUUUGGUCUGUUCGACCAUUGAAUCUUUACAUGAUCUGAGUUCAGACCGGUGUAAACCAGGUCGGUUUCUAUCUUUAUUAAAUUUAAAUAUUUUAGUACGAAAGGACCAAAUAUUUAAUAUAUUUAUAUUUAUAUUUUGAAUAUU